UACUCCUACUUUUUAUUAGCCAGAAGGAAGCAUGGCCGGGCGGGUCGAUUUGAGAGGAAGCAAGGAGACGUCUUUGCUCGCUCUGGCUCUUCGACAUCCUACUCCAAAGUACGACGGUCUCGUUCGACGCGUUCCUCUAGCUGAGGUAGCCGCUGCUGGAGUUGCAUGCGUGAGGUCAGGCGAGGAGACGAGGUGCGGGAGGCGAGGUCGGGAGGGAGGUCGGCGGCCGGUGAGGCCGGCGCGCAGGUGGAGGGGGGCGGCGACUGGUGGGGCCAACGCCACAGGUGGGGGGAGCGACCUGGAGGCUGGGGUCCACGCUACCGCCUGCCGAGGAGGUCGGGCGGAAGCCAGAGGAACCGCAAAGGAUCCGGCUCGGCCACCAAAGGCCGGACCCGGAGAGCCCUAGGGGACCUAGGUCGGCACGACGACGAAGCCCUGCUGGUGUUCUUCGUCCUGAUGUGGUUGGCAGGGUACACGAAGGCGACGCCGAAACUUCCGGUACUUAGUAAGGUUACGUUCGUAGGAGCCUCGGGUCCAAGCCUCGCUCUCGACUAGGCUCGCCAGGACCGGUUCUACCCGGCGGACCGAGGCAGACGACACCACCGACCACGACUCUCUGUCUGGAGUGGCCGCGGAUCCGUCCUUCAUGGGAACCAUGGAGGGAGCGGCCGCCACCGACUUGGAAACAGGAGUCGUACCGGUGGCUGGGUCGAGAGAAGACCCCCUACACACGAGACGGCGAGGGGCCUCUACCUGCUGUACCUCGCGGCUGAAACAGACCGCCACCACCAGAUGUAACCACCACACUCCGGCAGCUAGAGGACACACCUCCGCCGUCUUCGGUAAAGCCGCGUCAACCUCUAAGGUGCAGUAGCGAAGAAACAAGUAGCAAAGGUUGGCCUCCUAAAGGAAUAGCAGAAACGGUGAGGUCUCGAAGCGUUGUAACGGGAGGUAAGGUAGGGACAACUCUUACCUUCGAAGUUCGAAAAGAAAUUCGGUACCGACGCCGUCCGCGUUCGAUGGCGAUUCCGUUACUCCCACGUCCACCUAGAAUACUAACUCCCUUAGGGAAGUGUACGCACCAGAGUUCUAUGCCGACGACUCUAGGAACCCUGACGAACGUUUUAACUGUCGAACCGCGGACUUUGUCGCCUGUCUAGUCUAAAAAGCUACAAGUUCCAAGCAAGAACCACACACACGUCGGUCUCCUAUAGGGCUACCUGUUCUCCGACACCUAGGGACUCGACCUUAACCUUCUACGUGCCGUCGCCGCACGUAGCAGAGCGGUUAAGGACCUCAUGAGUUGCGAGUAAGUGUAACCGUUCGAGACCCUAAAGUUACCGGGCCUCUUGACCGCGGUAGGCCGCUCAAGACCGUCAUCGCCACGACGGUACCUACGCGCCGUUCUCUCUACUGACACCACCUCGCCGACCCCGACGGCCGUAACCUCGUUGACCGUCCAGGAAGUCCUUUCAAAACUACCCGUCUAACCCACUCAGGUUGACCGCUAACGGAUGAUAACCUAGGUCGUUGUCCGUCCACCGUCCUCGCGGCCGAUCGUCCUAAUCGUGGAGACCACUCGAGGACCGUAGCUCCGUCCGCCACCACCACGGUCGCAGGGUCCGACCGUGUGGCCUAGGAACACCAGCAGGACACCGACGGCUCCGUGUUGUGUGUCGCCGCGGGGACGUCGAGGACCAACGUCGUCUAGGACACGGUCACUGUCGACAGGGCGACCGUGCCCACUGCGAUGGCCAUACGCGCCCGGGGCUCCACCUACACCACCAACGUGGCCGUCACAACCUCAAAGGGAGAUAGGUGGACGGUAACCGAUUAGUCUUACGCCGGCACGGUAGACACCGUCGGCUGUUUCCACCCCAACAAGACCUUCCUCUGUAUCUGUCACCGGGUAGCUGUUCUACCACCCACGUUUAGUCGACCUACGGAGAAAGCUCCUCUGUACCCACCGGAGCGAACCAGUGUACAGUGUCCUCCCACCACACCCACUACGGUCAUUAGUCCUACGACGACAGGAGACAAGGGGACGACGCCCGACCCGGGACCACCUCCUCUAGAACAGCCGGUGGAGGGGUAACCACGGUCGACCACCCGGGAUCCUCUAAGGGGCUUCGACCUACACUGGGUCGGUACGUUGGAUAGCGACCGCCCGCCCGGCCUACACUGCGCGUGUACGUUGCACGAUCGAUAAUGGUGGGGCGGAAGGUACCGAGUCAACCUGCACGACGGACCACGCCUACCAUC
rnacentral:rRNA from 1 species